GAUCCUGUAGCUCAGCUGGAAGAGCUUUGACUCAGGCUUUGAUGUGCAUUGGUUCAAACCCCAGCUAGAUCG